UCCGGUAUGGUGCAACGGCAACAUUGCUGCGAUGGAUGACGAUUCGCCUUAUGGGUGAAACGAACUUGCGCGGUAGAUCGGGGUUCGAUUCCCCGUACCGGAA